CAACUUCCACCUGGCUUACCUCCNUCAGUUAUGCGUCAUGACUUGUAUCGUCUUGAGCGUAUUGUGGGUUUCCUGUGUUGCAUACCUAAUAAUGGAAUCGUUUUGGUUGAUUGAAGUCCCUUUUCAUCACGUGUUGCCUUUGCGACGCAUGAUGAACCUCGAAGCGGUCUCUAUGUUCCACCACGUUGAUGCUAGUGUCUUGAUGUUGUGGCCCAUUGAGUGUUGCUUGGUUUCGUGGAUACAGAACAUGAUUUGGGCAUAGGGUCACCUGUGACUCUUGUUUUGUCCUUUAUCAGUGUUCUCUAUAACGACGGUUCAUGCGCGCCUAGGCUCGUACCUGCGCGAUGUUCUUUGUCGAAGAGGAAUGCUACCUGGUUGAUCCUGCCAGUAGUCAUAUGCUUGUCUCAAAGAUUAAGCCAUGCAUGUGUAAGUA
rnacentral:misc_RNA from 1 species